UACGUAGGGGCCGAGCGUUGUCCGGAGUUACUGGGCGUAAAGCGCGCGCAGGCGGCCACUUAAGCCCGGCGUGAAAGCCCCCGGCUCAACCGGGGAGGGUCGUCGGGGACUGGGUGGCUUGAGGACGGCAGGGGCUGGUGGAAUCCCCGGUGUAGUGGUGAAAUGCGUAGAGAUCGGGGGGAACACCCGUGGCGAAGGCGGCCAGCUGGGCCGGUCCUGACGCUGAGGCGCGAAGGCGUGGGGAGCGAACAGG
rnacentral:rRNA from 1 species